AGUGAACGCCGGCGGUAGGCCUAACACAUGCAAGUCGAACGGCAGCACAGUAAGAGCUUGCUCUUACGGGUGGCGAGUGGCGGACGGGUGAGGAAUACAUCGGAAUCUACUUUUUCGUGGGGGAUAACGUAGGGAAACUUACGCUAAUACCGCAUACGACCUACGGGUGAAAGCAGGGGAUCUUCGGACCUUGCGCGAUUGAAUGAGCCGAUGUCGGAUUAGCUAGUUGGCGGGGUAAAGGCCCACCAAGGCGACGAUCCGUAGCUGGUCUGAGAGGACGAUCAGCCACACUGGAACUGAGACACGGUCCAGACUCCUACGGGAGGCAGCAGUGGGGAAUAUUGGACAAUGGGCGCAAGCCUGAUCCAGCCAUACCGCGUGGGUGAAGAAGGCCUUCGGGUUGUAAAGCCCUUUUGUUGGGAAAGAAAAGCAGCAGGUUAAUACCCCGCUGUUCUGACGGUACCCAAAGAAUAAGCGCCGGCUAACUUCGUG
rnacentral:rRNA from 1 species